rnacentral:pre_miRNA from 1 species
UCUUCAUUCCGCACACUCUCUCGCCGGUCAGAGAAACGAAAUAGUGUGCGACAUGAGGAGA